GAUGAACGCUGGCGGCGUGCCUAAUACAUGCAAGUCGAGCGAACGGACGAGAAGCUUGCUUCUCUGAUGUUAGCGGCGGACGGGUGAGUAACACGUGGAUAACCUACCUAUAAGACUGGGAUAACUUCGGGAAACCGUAGCUAAUACCGGAUAAUAUUUUGAACCGCAUGGUUCAAAAGUGAAAGACGGUCUUGCUGUCACUUAUAGAUGGAUCCGCGCUGCAUUAGCUAGUUGGUAAGGUAACGGCUUACCAAGGCAACGAUGCGUAGCCGACCUGAGAGGGUGAUCGGCCACACUGGAACUGAGACACGGUCCAGACUCCUACGGGAGGCAGCAGUAGGGAAUCUUCCGCAAUGGGCGAAAGCCUGACGGAGCAACGCCGCGUGAGUGAUGAAGGUCUUCGGAUCGUAAAACUCUGUUAUUAGGGAAGAACAUAUGUGUAAGUAACUGUGCACAUCUUGACGGUACCUAAUCAGAAGGCCACGGCUAACUACGUG
rnacentral:rRNA from 1 species